GGGUGAUAAGAUCAGGCAGUUUUCAGACAAUAGUCAUUUGCGUGGGUGGAGGCCCAGCAGGGGAGCAGAAAACCAUCCCUGGCUGGUGUUUGAAGGUGUUUUUUUUUUUUUUUUUUUACUUCUAUGUGAAGACCAGGGCAUCUGACAUUCUGGGAACGUGCUUCUCCAGAGAGGCCGACCUGUCUCUGGGUUGGCAGGAGGCUGCCUGAUGCCCCAGCUGGGCUCCUUCCCCAACUGCUCUCUGCUUCUCAUCUGGCAUCCCGCUGGGAACUGAUCCGUUAGGACUGAUCCAUGGCUCAGACUUCCUCCGGAAGGGGGUAGAGGUAGUUCAAAAGCGUGUCUCCACAAGAAGCACACAGAGAGAGCCGGGAGAGGGACUGCGCAUGAGGCAGAUUAAUUGAAUAAUCGAGAAGCCGAUGGUCAAUAAAGAUUGCUCUGUUGGUACAGGUUGCAGAGGACUGAUUCUCUCUGCUCUUGGGUCCGGUGACUGUCCCUUGUGGUGGACCACUUUCUUGCCCUCUCCUGGAUCCCAUCCUCUGUACCUUUUCCCUUUGCUGACUUGAAUCUGUAUCCUUCUGUUGUUAUAAACUGUAAUAAACAGCUUUUCUGAGUUCU